rnacentral:tRNA from 1 species
GCGUUCGUGGUGUAACGAUAGCACACUUGGCUCGUAUUCGAGAGAUCCAGGUUCGAGUCCCGGCUACGGCA